CCCAGGUGUGUUCCUAUCCCUCCCAGGUGUGCCCAGGUGUGUUCCUAUCCCUCCCAGGUGUGCCCAGGUGUGUUCCUAUCCUACUCAGGUGUGCCCAGGUGUGCCCAGGUGCUCCCAGGUGUGUUCCUAUCCCUCCCAGGUGUGCCCAGGUGUGUUCCUAUCCCUCCCAGGUGUGUUCCUAUCCCUCCCAGGUGUGCCCAGGUGUGUUCCUAUCCCUCCCAUGUGUUCCCAGGUGUGCCCAGGUGUGCCCAGGUGUGUUCCUAUCCCUCCCAGGUGCCCCCAGGUGUGUUCCUAUCCCUCCCAGGUGUGCCCCCAGGUGCCCAGGUGCACUCACAGGCCACGUGCAGCUCCAGGCUCCGGUUGUGGCGGCCGUGCCGGUUCUCGGCCACGCAGGUGUGCCCAGGUGCCCCCAGGUGUGUUCCUAUCCCUCCCAUGUGUUCCCAGGUGCCCCCAGGUGUGCCCAGGUGCCCCAGGUG